rnacentral:lncRNA from 1 species
UCAUGGCUUCCAACAGACUCAAGAAUCUACUGUUAAUUACCCCACACUUUCGGUGUUAAGGAACUCUCGAUUAAGAGACCAAAUAUAAAUGCUGAUAAAAGAGACCAAGCAGGCAAAUAAAAUUUUAUUGAUAUGAUUUGCCGUGUACAAGGCUUAAGCAAGGGCAUACCCCCACUGUACAUGAAUUUUAUAAGAUUAGGAUACUCAGUUUAGCGACUUGAUGGUCGAUUGGGAUAAGAUUGCUCAGUUUAACGACAUGGCGGUCAAAAGGAGUUUGAGUUUGAGUUGGUCAGUUCAGCGACAUGGCAGUCGGUUUGAAUUUGAGAUGCUCAUUUUAAUGACAUGGCGGUCGGUUGAAUUUUGGUGCUCAGUUCAUGACAUGGCGGUCGGUUUGAGUUUGGUGCUCAGUUUAAUGACAUGGCGGUCGGUUUGAGUUUUGGUGCUCAGUUUAAUGACAUCAGAUAUUCAGUUUAAUGACUUAUCAGUCAUUUGUUCAGUUUAACGACUUGACGGUCAAAUCUGAACUUUGUUUGCUCAGUUUAGUGACUUGGCGGUCGAUUGAAAUUGAGUUGGUCAGUUUAGCGACAUGGCGGUUGAUUUUAAAUUGGAUCGCUCAGUUUAGCGACAUGGCGGUCGGGUUCAAUUUUGGUGCUCAGUUUAAUGACAUGGCGGUCGGAUAUUCAGUUUAACGACUUGAUGGUUAAACACUCAGUUUAACGACUUGACGGUCAUAUCAGAUUUGAUUUGCUCAGUUUAGCGACUUGGCGGUCGAUUUUAAAUUGAGUUGCUCAGUUUAGCGACAUGGCGGUCGAUUUGAGUUUUGGUGCUCAGUUUAAUGACAUGGCGGUCGGCUUUGGGUUUAAUCUCAUGAAAUUGGUUCAUGAAAUUAAUUCAUGCUGAAAGCCCAUUUAUAGAGUCUAUUGAAUUAAUUGAUAAAAUUAAUUCAUGAUAGGGAGCCAUUUAGAGAGCCCAUUGAAUUAAUUUGUGAUAAGGAGCCAUUUGGAAGGCCCGUUAGUUCAUGAAAUUAAUUUAUGACAAAAAGGGCCCAUGAAAUUAAUUAAUUCAUGAUAAGGGGGCCUAUUUUUGCAAACCCAUGAAAUUAAUCCGUAGAAUUAAUUUAUGAUAAGGGGUCAUUUGGAAAACCUAGGAAAUUAAUUCAUAGAAUUAAUUCAUAAUAAAGGGCCCAUUUGGAAAGCCCAUGAAUUCGGUUUGGGUUGGAGGUAUUUUGAUGACAUAGGCUUGGUAGAUUUGAUUGGGGUUUAUUUAUGGACUUUGGAUCUUGGAUCUUCGGGUUUUGGGUUUUGGAUCUUAUUUGUGGACUUUGGAUUUUGGGUUUUGGGAUUUUAUUUGUGGACUUUAGGUUCAGGAUUUUAUUUGUGGACUUUGGGUUUUGGAAUUUUGUUUGUGGACUUUGGGUUCUGGGUUAAGAAAUGAAUUUUAUUUGUUCUGGGUCCGCAUCUACAUGUGGGUUGAGAU